rnacentral:lncRNA from 1 species
AUGCGGCCCAAGAACCAGUCCCCGGUGCCCCUGGGACAGGUCCCUGCUGGCAUGCCAUCUCCUCCAACCAUCAGAUGCCUCCUCCCUUGGUGGGGGUGGUGGGCGGGCGAAGGGAGGGUUGGAAUGACCAGACUUCUAUCCUGCCCCCCACCCCGGCCCACCACCCCAGUUCUCUUGUCUCGUCCACUGGGUGUUAGCCACAGCCUGUCCCCAGGCCUCACGGCNCCCCCCCCCGCACCACCCCAGUUCUCUUGGCUCGUCCACUGGGUGUUAGCCACAGCCUGUCCCCAGGCCUCACGGCUGGUUUGGGGGCUGCCACCUAGGCCCGUUGCUUCUCCUUCACCUCUUCAUGUCACUGCUCAUCUCCACGAACCACCUUCCACCGAAAACCGCGCUGCAGGUGAGACUGGGCUCUGUGCCUUUCCUUGUGUGUGCGUAGCUCUUCUGCAGUGCUGGCCCGGUGGGAAUUCUAAUUUCCUGCCUCUCCUGCAGGUCAGCCCUGUCCUCGGCACGCUGGCCGUGACCUGGCUGGGUCAGCUGAAGAACCGGAUGGAAGAGGCAGAAAGAAGCCCCCGGAGGAGCGCCGCCCUGUACCACCCAGCCUUCCUUGAUGAUGGUCACCUGGCAUCUCAUGCCCAGCCCUGUGCCUCUUCACUUCUUCCUGCUUUGGGUUGGAAGACGCCAUCUGGAAUCCUCCGUGGAAGGAGAGACCUGGACGCCCGACUCAGCACCCUCCGGCUUUCAAAUCCCUCCGCAGCCACAGGGACACCCUGCACACGUUCCCGCGGGACAGGCCGGACCCAAAGACUCUGGACCAGGGCCGCCCCCUGCGAGGAGGGGCAUGCCCUCCCGGCCUCUCCUUGCAUAGCCACCCGCCCUCUGACUGAUGGACUACACUGA